AUUGAACGCUGGCGGCAGGCCUAACACAUGCAAGUCGAGCGGAGCGGCGGACGGGUGAGUAAUGCCUAGGAAUCUGCCUGGUAGUGCGGGAUAACGUCCGGAAACGGGCGCUAAUACCGCAUACUAUCAGAUGAGCCUAGGUCGGAUUGGCUAGUUGGUGGGGUAAAGGCCUACCAAGGCGACGAUCCGUAACUGGUCUGAGAGGAUGAUCAGUCACACUGGAACUGAGACACGGUCCAGCGGCCUACGGGAGGCAGCAGUGGGGAAGAGUGGAAAAUGGGCGAAAGCCUGAGCCAGCCAUGCCGCGGGUGUGAGGAAGGUCUGCGGGUUGUAAAGCACUUGCAGCGGGGAGGCGUGACCCGCAGAAGAAGCACCGGCUAACUCCGUGCCAGCAGCCGCGGUAAUAC
rnacentral:rRNA from 1 species